rnacentral:pre_miRNA from 1 species
UUGGUACUCCCUCCGCCCGAAAUUAGUUGUUGUAGAAUUGUAUAAAAAUGGAUAUAUUUAAAAUUAAGAUACAUCUAGAUACAUUCAUUCCUAUGACAAGUAUUUUUCGACGGAGGGAGUAUAUG